AACAGCGGGGCGCCGCCGCGACGGUGGCCGGCGUAUCAACGGGCAGUUUGACAUUCGGCCGGAAGUCGUGCACAUAUGUUUCCGACGUCGCCGCUGCGAAGGCGCGGUUGCGCAGUCGACUUACGGGCCGAAUAUGUCGACCGGCCGCGGAGCGACGGAGUGAUGUAUGAUACGUCGACUGUUAUCAUGACCGCCAUCGUGGCGAUUUCCUUCAGUUGAGCACGCCACCAGGUCGCAAUUUGCAACGAGACCGCGUAGUUCUCUCUCCGUACGAGGAGGUGGAGGUGGAGGAGGAGGAGGAGGUGGAAGAAGAGGUUCGGUCGCGCGCGAGACGGACAGAGAGAGGAGGAGAGAAAAGAAAGAGAGCACCGCGCCAGAUCGCCGUGUGCCACCGUACCGUAUCGUAUCGUAACCGUUUCGCGGGGGCUGGGGGGAGGGGGGGUGUCAGUGAGAUCGCGCGGGGAUCGCGGAGCGGAGCGGAGCGCGAGGGCCUUAUGUCAAGUCGACGACGACGACGAGGACGGAGCGCGCAAACAUGAAGAAGCUAUUCUCCAAGAUCGACAACACGUCGAAGGAGCCUAACAGUUAUUUGGGCAAGGUGUUCGUCGUGGGCAGCCACACGGUCACCGUCGAGGAGGUCUUGGCGGAAGGAGGAUUUGCAAUUGUAUUUUUGGUCAAAGCCUCAGGUGGACGAUAUGCUCUUAAACGGAUGUAUGUCAACAAUGAACAUGAUCUCAAUGUAUGCAAAAGAGAGAUACAAAUUGCCAGCAACUUGAGUGGUCAUAAAAAUAUCAUAGGAUAUGUAGAUAGUAAUAUAACUCAUACUGGCAAAGGAGUACAUGAACUUCUGCUUUUAAUGCCUUAUUGUAAAUCCCAAGUUCUUCAAAUGAUGAAUAACAGGUUGCAAACAGGUUUCAGUGAAUCAGAAGUUCUACAAAUUUUUUGCGACGUUUGCGAAGCUGUAUCUCGGUUGCAUCAUUGUCAAACUCCCAUAAUUCAUAGAGAUCUCAAGGUGGAAAAUAUACUGCUCGCCGAUAGCGGUCAUUAUGUUCUAUGUGAUUUCGGAUCCGCAACGGGAAAAGUUCUUAAUCCUGGUGUUCACGGCGCCGCAGUGGUUGAAGAGGAGAUAAAAAAAUAUACCACUUUAAGUUACAGAGCACCCGAAAUGGUUGAUAUGUACUGUGGAAAACCUAUCACGACAAAAGCAGACAUAUGGGCUUUAGGAUGCCUGCUGUAUAAACUUUGUUUCUUUACACUACCGUUUGGCGAAAGCACACUUGCUAUACAAUCUGGAAAUUUCACCAUACCGGAUAAUUCCAAAUAUAGCAAAGCUCUCCAUUGUUUGAUUCGGUACAUGCUUGAGCCAGACCCCGAUUUACGUCCUGACAUUUAUCAAGUUUCUGCAAUUGCUUUUCAAAUUCAGGGCAAAGAGUGUCCUGUACAGAAUUUGCAUAAAGUCCCUACACCGACGAUAGAGUCAUUACCGUGUCCGCUCAUGGAGUCUGAGAAUAUUAAAAGAUCUUCAUCUGUCAAAACUCCAAAGCCUGCACCUAUAGCGACGACGGUCGAGGGUACAUCUGUGACGCCGAGACAGAGACCGAAAGGACAAGCUGUUAGCACAGGACCUAUCAGUUUGAGCGGUCAAAUUGUAGGACAAAUAUCGGGUCAAGGAAAUCAGACGCAAAGUACACCUGGAAAUUCUAUCUCUUAUGUUCAAGUAUCGCCACAUGUCUGCACUCCCAAUCAGAAUGUUCCCUUCGGUCAGCCAUCACAAGGACAGCCAUCUCAGAGUCCGAUGAUCAGUCAUUCUCCUUUAACUCAACAGUCACCUGUUACUGUUCAAGAUAAGAAUGCAUUCUAUUUUGAACCACGACAACACGAUACUAAGACAAAUGUCAAUGAGAAGAAUCUGGAGGCUCUAUUUCCAUCGUCAGGAUAUCCGGAUCCGUUCAAAGAUGACACGACGGCAAUGCCGCCACCUACCAAAAUUCCACCUCCCGUCGCUCCUAAACCUGGCAAAAUUCUUCCAAAACUAUCGAAUCCUAGCUAUCCAUCGUCAUCUAAAUAUCCGCCGGUAACUUCAUUACCGUCGAAAUUGUCUAUUUCAACGGGGCCUAAUAAAACAAUUCCACCGACGCAGGUGACACCGCCAGCUUUACCAAAACCGGUUAAUAAAACAGAAAGCUUAAGUCAAAAUAUAAGCUCGAGCAUAUCACCUCCCGAUAGUCCGACAUUGUCGUCUUCGCGACACAGAAGGAAUGUCAGUGAUACAAGUGCUUUUAAUAAUGGCCAUUUCGAUGUUCACAGAGCGUUUGCGACUGAAACCACUCAAUUCUUAGCGCCAUACGAGGCUUCGGUUAAGCCGCGCUCCGAUGACGCGACUACACCUCCCGAACUUCCGAGUGAUAUAAGGCCUUGUAUAGCAACUAGUGCCUCGCAUGUACGUGUUGGUGAACUUUCGAGCCUAAUGGGAUCGGAAGGACGAUCAUUGAGCGCGGAUGUGGCCGCGUGGAAUCCGUUUGAAGAUGUACAGCCUUUUAAUCAGUUAACAGAAGAUCAUAUUUUCGGUGCUGAAUUUGAUAAAAUAAGAAGAGGGAGCAAUACCAGUAUCAGUGGAGUAAAAAGUCGUGAAAGCCUCGUUAUGACAUAUACAGAAUUACCAGAGGAUCCUUUUGAAUCUGCACCCUUUAGUUUGCCAACAGGAAAGAAGAGUAAAAUUGGAUCAAAGACUGCUGCUAUUGCUGGAGGAAAAUCGACGAGACCUCCCCUAACACAAUGGAAUAAUUCCGGGCUCGAACAUGGCGGCGGCGUGGAUGAUGAGGCAUCGUUGAUCACGGAAUCCAGUCCGGUCUCGCCGCCGUUUGUUCGUGCACCAGCAGAGGAUCGUUCCAAGUAUGAGAAGCUAGCGUUCAAUGCCGACGAGGUGUCUAGUGACAGCGAUGGGAAGAGAGGCACCAAGGAACGAGCGAGGAAGACGAGAGGGAGACGACGGGUGAAGAAUGUGUUGAGCCGCAGCAGGAGAAGAGUUGCAGCUCAACACGAUGCGAACGCGGACAAUAGUAAUGCGGCAAACGUGGAUUACGAGUCGGAUGAUUCGAUCGGCUCGGCCAGCGAUCUACGUGCGAUGAACGAUGAGGAGGAGGGAAAUGAGUAUGGCGACGAGAACGACGACGGUGACGGCAAUAAACGCGGCAAGCACGACGAGACCAUCUCCGAGAGUGUGCGCACAUGCGGCAGUUCUGCGUAUCACGCGGAAUGCGAAUCCGUAGCGACGCACGAGGAUGAUUAUAGGAUGAAGAGGCCGAGGAGACAGCAUCACUAUCGGCAGCAACAGGCGCAACAGCUGCCGACCAUCGACGCAGAUCCGAUCGUCGGCCAUCAAUAUGGAGAAAAACCGCUGCUGUUGGACGAUGAAUUAGAUCCUGAAUCUAAACCGGAACAGUCCCAUGGGGAUCCCUUCGUGCGACACCAAUACGGGUCUAAACCGUUGCUCUUUAACAACGGUGACAGUUCGUCUGAUGACAACAACGACGACAAGUCCAAAUCGCUGAUUCAAAACGGCAUCUGGAAAGUGGAGAACGACGUAUUCGCUUUGGCACCGUUCCCACGAUCCAGCAGCUCUAGAAAGAGUAGCGAUAGUCGCGAGAGCGAGCCCAAAAAUGUCGAUCCGAGUAACAGCGCGAGGAAUUCACCUCGUAAUUCGAAUCUAGUGACGCCGAUCUCCAGUUCACCCUUACCGGCAGAAGUGGUGUUUGCGGAUGUAAUAGAGAGUAAAGCGACGGCACUUCCGCCACCGAGGCCCGUCACUUUGUCCUGCAAUUAUUCGAAAAACAUCGCGAAUAACAAGACUAUUUAUUACGAAGAACCGUCAUCUUUUCCUCGUCAACCGAACGUUCAAACGUCGCCAGUCAAGAACAAACCUCACGUCGGCAUCGCUGAAGAGGAAGAGGAGGAGGAAGAAGAGCAGGAGAAUGCCGAAAAGGAUCUCUUUGGCUCCUCGCCGUUCAGUCCCAGUGGAUUUACUAAUCCUUUUAACAAUGUUCAAUCCAAUUAUGUCGCGAACAUCGAAUCAGCGUCAGCUCAGCCGUCGAUGCCAACGAUGCCAACGAUGCCGACGAUUUUAAGUCCGGUAGGCUCUUCCUCUUCUUACAUCGAUUAUGGUAAUCGCCUUCCUCAGCUGCAAUCAUCUCACAAUAACAUAAUAUCGGAUAAUUAUUACACUAGUCAUUCUAGUAGCACGGUCGCUUCUACAUCGAAAUACGGGAAGGUGACAGUAAACUCCGGUGAAUUUACAGCGGAACCUUCCAAGGAUCUCUUCGGGUCAAUCCCGUUCGACGAGUUCGCUUCGCUGAAGAUCAAUGAGCAACAGCAGCGUCCAACAUCUUUAUCGCUAUCGCAGUCGCCCAACUACAUGGAUAAUGUUACAUUAUCCACUACAUCGGCAUUACCCAUCGUCAGUGGCGUCGUGCCAUCUCCAAAGAAUACCAUCAUUCAUCUGAUGCCGACACCACCGUCUCAGCCACAGCCACCGCCCACACCCACCUAUACGAUUCAACCAACCACGCAUACCGCUAGGAUCACCGUGCACGCGGUCAACAGCGUCUCCAAGGUGGAUAUUACGUGCGACCUGAUAUCACCUAUGUCGCCCGAGCCUCUGGUCGUCAUGGACGACGACACGCCCAAGCAUAACAAGAAGGAGAAAUCCAAAUCGGACAAGUCCAAAUAUCAUCUGAUCGACGAAAAUCACGGUGACAUCGUCAAUGUGCUACAGACGACGCACAAAGUUUCUCACAAGACCAAGUCGGCGAGCCACCACAAGAAAACGCCCAAAGGCAAGAAGAGUACAGCCGCGACUGCUGGUUUCAGCAAUAUGAGCUUCGAGGAUUUUCCGAGCGACGAGAACGAAGAAAGGCAAGCAGGACGAACGAAGGUCGCGCCCUUUGAGGUGAUCCGCGAACCGUCAGAAAAGCGAUUCGGAUCGUUAAAGAGGCGGAGCAAUCCGUUCACCUGAGAUGAAACGGUCUCGGCUAGUUGGCAUAGAGCCGCUUAUCAGAAACGCUGGAACAGAAGAUUUAUACACAGAACAGAUAACCAUGAGAAAAAGACAUUAUGUUAUAAAAAAUAAAAUGAUGAUCUUUGUGAAAAAGAAGAGAGGGAGAAAGAGCGCGAGAGAUACUUUCCAAUGUAUUUUAAUGUGAAACCAGGUUGUGAAACUUGGCAGCUCGAUACCAAAAAUGAUAAAAAUAGGUAGAUAGAGAAAGAAGAGGAAAGAAAAAGAAAGAGAGAGAAAACGAGAACUCGUGCAUCUAUUUUUGCAGCUAAAUCUUUUCACUACGUUUGUACUUUAAAAUUUGUAGAUUUCUACUAGUACGAUCUAUACUAUAGUUCUUACAAAAUAAUUUUUCUAAGAGAGUUAUCUAAACUAUAUAUACAUAUAUAUCUCCUGUAAACGCAAUUCGUAAAGCCUUUGGGCAAAUUUCUCGAUAAGGAAGAGAAGAAAUUUUUACUGCAUAUUUACAGUCUCUUAAAGAAAAAAGAAAAAGAGAUCAAUACACAGAAUAUUCUCCAUAAAAAAUAACAUAAUGCAUAAUUUACAGAAUUCGAUUACAAAGGCGCAAAUAAUAGCAUCGAAGUAAUUUUUGUAAUAUUUGUCAUAAGAGAGCGAGCAGGUUCGCCUAAAGAAUUGGCCUUAUCGUGUAAGACUGACUUAUUAUUUAAGAGUCUCGAUUAACAUUUAGAUUUAUAAAAUGGCUAUAUCGCUUUUGCUUAUAAUUUGAUAAUUCACUGAUGAUUCAUAGCGAGAAAUUGUCCAAAACAAAUAUUAAGAUUCUUGUGCACUUCAUGAUCGAGACUGUUAAAUAAAACGUAUGAACAGUAGAAGUAACAUUAGUACUUGAUGGUACUUGAUAACGCGAUAUAUUCUAAUAGGAUUAAAUACUUAUUGUUACUCAUUUCUUUUCUCGCAUUGAAUCUGCAUAUGUUAAACUAUUCCCUAGCGAGUGAAUUUAACACACAUCAGAUUUUGUAAUUUUAAAAAUCUAUCCGAAUUAAACUUUCUGCUAAUAUAUUGCGCCUUUCAUAAUCGAGGAUCUACAAUCUAGUUCAGUGUAAAAAGAUAUGACAAUAUUAUAAAAAAAGAAAUAUUUGUAAUCUACGCGUGUUUUUAUGCAUGCAUGCAUGCAUGCAUAUAUAUACAUAUAUAAAAAAAUGUAACAUAAUUUGUAGAUAUGUUAGCUCGUAUGAUUAGGUGCCUUCCUUCAUUAAGUAGCGUUCAAGCUCUUGCAGUCUUUGCUGUUGUGUAGUAUAAAAGCUGAUUAGUAUUAUAUAAAAUAAACAGAGUCAAUUGUAUUUAUACAUGUAAGGAAUAGUGUAUAUCUGAAAAGUUGUCUUCAGUUUAGUUCCUAUAUAUAACCAGGUGAAAGAUAUGUGUAAUCUAUAGGGAAUUAAAAGCGAUUUCUUUAUGCCGCUAGCACGUUCAUAUACACAGACACAUAAAACCAAAAAUGAUUUAUGCGAACAGAAUUAAAUAUUAUAAUGAAUCGAUUCGAUGAAUUUGAUAAAUCGAGAAGAACGAUUUGAAUGUAUUUACUAAACAACGAGAGAGACGUUUUAUUAUUCCAAGCCUUAAAAUACUCUGUCAUUCUAUGUACACUGUGUAUAAAAUAAUACGAAUUAGGUGCUAAGAAACACCAAGUAUUUUAACAUCCUAAGAUGAUGUAAUUCGAUUGUAUAAAGUCUCUAUUACGGCUAUAUAAUGUAGAUACACACGUGAUACAUUCCUUCUUUGAAUUUUCAUAUACUGUUAUUUAUUAUCGUUGGUUUAUAGAUUUCUCCAUGUACACAUAGCAAGAGAAAUAAAUGUCUCGAAAAGU